rnacentral:rRNA from 1 species
CUCGAAGUCGUUUUGCGGGUGGAUUCAGUCAGGAGUCUACGAACCUCUGUCGGUACGUGACCUCUCAUUCUUAUGAAGAGGGACUCCGAGCAGUAAGGCGUGACUCGAAGGGGCCUGACGCAUUUCCAACCCGCACUGUAGGACGCCGCAGCCGGUUGGGUAGCUGCGCGUGUCGGCCAUGAGGUGGGGCAGUGGCAGUAGACCGUUUCUCGCUUUCUAAGUGGCGUUUGCCGGUUGUUUAGCCAGCCCUUCCGUGGCGCGACACCCGACCGAGGAACGAGAGGUUCACUAGAUGGACCUCGCCGUCCCUUCUGAUUAUUUCUGUAUAGCAAUAAGAGAGCGGACCGGCGGACAGGCGAGAUGCUGCGCAAUACCGCUCUAGUCACCGAACUGGGUGGUGCGUAGUGUCCGCUGGUGGUCCGUAUCGGUUAAUCCGCAAUGGGAAGAGAGUAACGAUGGCUUGUGGCGAGUAGGUCGGUCACCCACCCGACCCGUCUUGAAACACGGACCAAGGAGUCUAACAUGUGCGCGAGUCAUGGGGUCUUGUUUAGGCCCAGAGGCAUAAUGAAAGUGAUAUAUUGGAUUUCAUUAUUAAUGAUGAGAUGUUGAUGUUGGGAUUUCCCGAGGAGUUGUAGCCCGAGGAAAGCACCAACGACCCGCCCGUUCUUAAUUAUAAAGUGUGGACGGCGUUUGAGCGCACACGUUGGGACCCGAAAGAUGGUGAACUAUGCCUGGGCAGGACGAAGCCAGAGGAAACUCUGGUGGAGGUCCGCAGCGGUU